AGUAGGACUAGCAUAACGAGGGGGGUAGCAACAGUGGUGAGUUCGUUGGAUGGCUUAAGCCCUGAGUACAGGGUAGUCGUCAGUGGUUCGACGCCUCGGAAAUAGAGGUCUCGAUAUGCCACGUGGACGAGGGCACGCCCAAAGCACAUCUUAACCUGAGCGGGGGGUCGCUCAGGUGAAAGCGGUUCAACCAACCGUUACGGAUACAGCCUGAUAGGGCGCUGCAGAGGCCCACUGUUUUGCUACUAAAAAUCUCUGCUUACAUGGCACAUGGAGUU
rnacentral:other from 1 species